rnacentral:rRNA from 1 species
GACGAAGGAUGCAAGCGUUAUCCGGAUUCAUUGGGUUUAAAGGGCGCGUAGGUGGCCUUAUAAGUCAGUGGUGAAAUCUCUGGGCUUAACCCAGAAAUUGCCAUUGAUACUGUAGGGCUUGAGUAUAGAUGCCGUUGGCGGAAUAUGACAUGUAGUGGUGAAAUACAUAGAGAUGUCAUAGAACACCGAUUGCGAAGGCAGCUAACGAAACUAUAACUGACACUGAGGCUCGAAAGUGUGGGGAUCAAACAGG